GCGGCGGGCCGUGACUGGCGUUCGGGUGGAUCACCACCGGGGAGCGGCCCGCGUACGUGCCGUACGCCGACUGCCGCGCGCCUGGGCGAACCGC
rnacentral:ncRNA from 1 species